UUUAAUUGAAGAGUUUGAUCAUGGCUCAGAUUGAACGCUGGCGGCAGGCCUAACACAUGCAAGUCGAGCGGUAACAGAGAGAAGCUUGCUUCUUUGCUGACGAGCGGCGGACGGGUGAGUAAUACUUGGGAACUUGCCUCUAGGCGGGGGACAACCACUGGAAACGGUG
rnacentral:rRNA from 1 species